CCUACGGGUGGCAGCAGUGGGGAAUAUUGCACAAUGGGGGAAACCCUGAUGCAGCGACGCCGCGUGAGUGAAGAAGUACUUCGUUACGUAAAACUCUAUUAGUAGGGAAGAAAAUGCCGGUACCUGACUAUGAAGGCCUGGCUAACUCCGGGCCAGCAGCCGAGGGAAUACGAAGGGGGGACGCGUUAUCCGGAUGUAAUGGGUGUAAAGGGAGCGUAGAUGGCUGUGCAAGUCUGGCGGGAAAGGCGGGGGCUCAACCGCCGGUGGGCACUGGAAACUGUACGGCUGGAGUGCAGGAGAGGUAAGUGGAAUUCCAGGUGUAGCGGUGAAAUGCGUAGAGAUUAGGAGGAACACCAGUGGCGAAGGCGGCUUACUGGACUGUAACUGACGUUGAGGCGCGAAAGCGUGGGGAGCAAACAGGAUUAGAUACCCUUGUAGUC
rnacentral:rRNA from 1 species